rnacentral:rRNA from 1 species
AGAGUUUGAUCCUGGCUCAGAGCGAACGCUGGCGGCGUGGAUAAGACAUGCAAGUCGAACGAGGUUUUAGAAGCAGGUAACUGAAUCUGAAACUUAGUGGCGAACGGGUGAGUAACACAUGGGUAAUCUGCCUCAAAGACUGGGAUAGCUCUUCGAAAGAGGAAUUAAUACCAGAUAUGGUUGCUUUUCUUAUGAUUGGUAAUUAAAGGUGGGGAUCUUUCGGGACCUACCGCUUUGAGAUGAGCCCGUGGCCUAUCAGCUUGUUGGCGGGGUAACGGCCACCAAGGCUUACGGGUAGCUGGCCUGAGAGGGUGGUCAGCCACACUGGGACUGAGACACGGCCCAGACACCUACGGGUGGCAGCAGUCGAGAAUCUUUCGCAAUGGGGGAAACCCUGACGGAGCGACGCCGCGUGAAGGAAGAAGGUCUUCGGAUUGUAAACUUCUGUCACUUGGGAAGAAAGAUAUGCAGGUGAAUAAUCUGUGUAUUUGACUGUACCAGGAGAGGAAGCCACGGCUAACUCUGUGCCAGCAGCCGCGGUAAUACAGAGGUGGCGAGCGUUGUUCGGAUUUACUGGGCGUAAAGAGCACGUAGGCGGCAUAGUAAGUCGGUUGUGAAAUCCCAUGGCACAACCAUGGAACUGCAUCCGAUACUACUAAGCUAGAGGUGAGCAGGGGAAAGUGGAAUUCUCGGUGUAGCGGUGAAAUGCGUAGAUAUCGAGAGGAACAUCAGCGGCGAAAGCGACUUUCUGGACUCAACCUGACGCUGAGGUGCGAAAGCUGGGGGAGCAAACAGGAUUAGAUACCCUGGUAGUCCCAGCCGUAAACGGUGUUCACUUGGUGUUAGGAGAUUUGACCCUUCUAGUGCCGGAGCUAACGCGUUAAGUGAACCGCCUGGGGAGUACGGCCGCAAGGUUAAAACUCAAAGGAAUUGACGGGGGCCCGCACAAGCGGUGGAGCAUGUGGCUUAAUUCGAUGCAACGCGAAGAACCUUACCAGGGCUUGACAUGCUGGGAUUAAUCCGGUGAAAGCCGGAGGAUUGCCGUUAGGUGUAACCAGUACAGGUGCUGCAUGGCUGUCGUCAGCUCGUGUCGUGAGAUGUUGGGUUAAGUCCCGCAACGAGCGCAACCCUUGCACUUAGUUGCUAUUCCUACUUCGGUAGGUCGCACUCUAGGUGGACUGCCCUGUUCAACAGGCGAGGAAGGUGGGGAUGACGUCAAGUCAGGAUGGCCCUUACGCCCUGGGCUGCACACGUGCUACAAUGGUUGGUACAGAAGGACGCAAUGCCGCGAGGUGGAGCAAAUCCAAUAAAACCUGCCCCAGUUCGGAUCGGAGUCUGCAACUCGACUCCGUGAAGCCGGAAUCGCUAGUAAUGGCGUAUCAGCUACGACGCCGUGAAUACGUUCCCGGGCCUUGUACC